rnacentral:tRNA from 1 species
UCAGAAAAUAAUAUAUAAUAUUAGUAUGCAAGUUUUGGAGAUUUGUUGAGAUAUAAUCUUUUCUGAUGUUAAAAGGAAAACCAAAUUU